rnacentral:rRNA from 1 species
UACGGGGGGGGCAAGCGUUGUUCGGAAUUACUGGGCGUAAAGGGCCAGUAGGCGGCCAACUAAGUCGGAUGUGAAAUCCCCAGGCUUAACCUGGGAACUGCAUCCGAUACUGGAUGGCUUGAAUCCGGGAGAGGGAUGCAGAAUUCCAGGUGUAGCGGUGAAAUGCGUAGAUAUCUGGAGGAAUACCGGUGGCGAAGGCGGCAUCCUGGACCGGCAUUGACGCUGAUGAGCGAAAGCUAGGGGAGCAAACGGG